rnacentral:siRNA from 1 species
AUGCUUCUGGAUACCGCCAGCAAU